rnacentral:rRNA from 1 species
AGAGUGAACGCUGGCGGCAGGCCUAAUACAUGCAAGUCGAACGGCAGCACGGCAGAGCUUGCUCUGUGGGUGGCGAGUGGCGGACGGGUGAGGAAUACAUGGGAAUCUGCCCAGUCGUGGGGGAUAACGUAGGGAAACUUACGCUAAUACCGCAUACGCCCUUCGGGGGAAAGCCGGGGACCAGCAAUGGCCUGGUGCUGAUAGAUGAGCCGAUGUCGGAUUAGCUAGUUGGUGAGGUAAUGGCUCACCAAGGCGACGAUCCGUAGCUGGUCUGAGAGGAUGAUCAGCCACACUGGAACUGAGACACGGUCCAGACUCCUACGGGAGCAGCAGGUGGGGAAU